AUAAAUGGGCAAAGUCCGAACGAACUUCCGUUAAUUGAUUAUGACGUGCUGCACUGUAUGAGAUUUUAACACGAAGUGAGUGGCGGACGGGUGAGUAACACGUGGGUAACCUGCCCAGAAGCAGGGGAUAACACCUGGAAACAGAUGCUAAUACCGUAUAACAGAGAAAACCGCCUGGUUUUCUUUUAAAAGAUGGCUCUGCUAUCACUUCUGGAUGGACCCGCGGCGCAUUAGCUAGUUGGUGAGGUAACGGCUCACCAAGGCGAUGAUGCGUAGCCGACCUGAGAGGGUAAUCGGCCACAUUGGGACUGAGACACGGCCCAGACUCCUACGGGAGGCAGCAGUAGGGAAUCUUCCACAAUGGACGCAAGUCUGAUGGAGCAACGCCGCGUGAGUGAGAAGGGUUUCGGCUCGUAAAGCUCUGUUGUUAAAGAAGAACGUGGGUGAGAGUAACUGUUCACCCAGUGACGGUAUUUAACCAGAAAGCCACGGCUAACUACGUGCCAGCAGCCGCGGUAAUACGUAGGUGGCAAGCGUUAUCCGGAUUUAUUGGGCGUAAAGCGAGCGCAGGCGGUCUUUUAAGUCUAAUGUGAAAGCCUUCGGCUCAACGGAAGAAGUGCAUUGGAAACUGGGAGACUUGAGUGCAGAAGAGGACAGUGGAACUCCAUGUGUAGCGGUGAAAUGCGUAGAUAUAUGGAAGAACACCAGUGGCGAAGGCGGCUGUCUGGUCUGUAACUGACGCUGAGGCUCGAAAGCAUGGGUAGCGAACAGGAUUAGAUACCCUGGUAGUCCAU
rnacentral:rRNA from 1 species